UACGGGGGGUGCGAGCGUUGUCCGGAAUCACUGGGCGUAAAGGGCGCGUAGGUGGCCUGAUAAGGGUGUGGUGAAAGUCCGGGGCUCAACCCCGGAUCGGCCGUGCCGACUGUUAGGCUAGAGUACUGUAGGGGCAGGCGGAAUUCCGGGUGUAGCGGUGGAAUGCGUAGAGAUCCGGAGGAACGCCGGUGGCGAAAGCGGGUCUCUGGGCCGAGACUGACGCUGAGGAGCGAAAGCGUGGGGAGCGAACAGG
rnacentral:rRNA from 1 species